rnacentral:rRNA from 1 species
GCAUCGAUGAAGAACGCAGCGAAAUGCGAUAAGUAAUGUGAAUUGCAGAAUUCAGUGAAUCAUCGAAUCUUUGAACGCAACUUGCGCUCUCUGGUAUUCCGGAGAGCAUGCCUGUUUGAGUAUCAUGAAAUCUCAACCAUUAGGGUUUCUUAAUGGAUUGGAUUUGGGCGCUGCCAGUAGCCUGGCUCGCCUUAAAAGAGUUAGCGUGUUUAACUUGUCUUAUCUGGCGUAAUAAGUUUCGCUGGUGUUGACUUGAGAAGUGCGCUUCUAAUCGUCCUCGGACAAUUCUUGAACUCUGGUCUCAAAUCAGGUAGGGCUACCCGCUGAACUUAAGCAUAUCAAUAAGCGGAGGA